rnacentral:rRNA from 1 species
GACGAACGCUGGCGGCGUGCUUAACACAUGCAAGUCGAACGGAAAGGCCUGCUUUCCCUUGUGGAUUGCGGGUACUCGAGUGGCGAACGGGUGAGUACCACGUGAGUGAUCUGCCCCCAACUUGGGUAUAAGCCUGGGAAACUGGGUCUAAUUCCCGAUAGGACUGCAGGGUGGUGCCUGUGGUGGAAAACGAUUUUCUAGUGGUUGGGGAUGAGCUCGCGGCCUAUCAGCUUGUUGGUGGGGUAAUGGCCUACCAAGGCGGCGACGGGUAGCCGGCCUGGAGGGGGGGAAGGCAAAAUGGGAAAGGGGAAAGGGCCAAGACGCGAACGGGAGGAGGCAGUGGGGAAAAGGGAAAAAUGGGGGGAAGCCGAAGGAAGGAACGCGGGGGGGGGAUGACGGCCUUCGGGUGGUAAACUCCUGUCGACCGCGAGGAAGCCACCUGGUUGGAAGGGUGGUGACGGUAGUGGUAGAAGAAGCACCGGCUAACUACGUG